rnacentral:rRNA from 1 species
UACGUAGGGGGGCAAGCGUUGUCCGGAAUCAUUGGGCGUAAAGAGCGCGUAGGCGGCCCUGUAAGUCCGCUGUGAAAGUCAAGGGCUCAACCCUUGGAUGCCGGUGGAUACUGCAGGGCUAGAGUCCGGAAGAGGCGAGUGGAAUUCCUGGUGUAGCGGUGAAAUGCGCAGAUAUCAGGAGGAACACCGAUGGCGAAGGCAGCUCGCUGGGACGGUAGCUGACGCUGAGGCGACGAAGCGUGGGGAGCAAACAGG